rnacentral:misc_RNA from 1 species
UGCAACAACAGCUGCAGCAGCAGCAGCUGCUGCUGCAACAGGAACAUUUUUUGCAUAACUCACGGGAGUUACUUCAGACUGCAAUGACACGGGUCGUCCAGUGACCUCUCUUAUCUCAAAAGGAUGGUUUACCCCUAAACCUUCCACAGGUUUAAGUUGCUCAGGUUGGUUAAAAGCAGGACUUGCCUUAGAAUGCACUUUGUGAUGAGGCAGAGGGGGCAAAAAUCGAGCAGGACUAAGAUCUUCUUGAUCUUUCAUAUGCCAGGCAUCACUCUUCUGUUUGUGGUCUUCCUUAUCUUCUGUAGGGGACUUGGCCUCAGUAGUUGAUCCAUCUAACUGCUCAUGAUAAAUUUCAGUAAACAAGCUAGGGGGAGCAACAACACCACUUUCCAGCAAUACAUCAUGAAGUUUUUGGGCUAACUGUGGAUUCUCUUUGGCAGCAUCAAUCACAUAUUGCGAAACAUUUUUCACUUUCAUUCUACGCACAGCAGGAGAGCUAACACCUUCAGUCCAUGAAGGAGAUCUUGCAUGCGCAAAAGGAUAAUUAGGCCUUCCAGGACUCUCCCGCAUCAGCACCUUCUCUACAUUGGAACAUUUCUUAAAAUCAUCCAAGGUCAUCUUGGAUUCUUCUUCACCUUUAAUUGUCCUGGUCACAUUUGUAAAUUCAUGAAAUUCACACUUGUCAUCAGAUUCAUUUCCGGAACCAGCAACAUUCCUAAAUUUGGAUCUCUUCUCCAGUGUCCCAACAUCUGAAUGUUCUUCAAAUGAACUUGCUACUCCACUACUAGAAGAAGCUCUAUGAGAUGAAUCAAUGUCUCGAGACAAAGGACUAGCAGAAAAGAAAGAAUCAUCAUAUUCUACAUGCGAUCCAGCUACAUCAGAAGGAAUAAGAGUGCCAGGAUCUGCCAUUAGAUCAACAAUGUAUUCCCUUCCAUCAUCAAUCUUUACAAAAUUCAUGGCCACAUCAUCAGAACCAGUGUAUUGAUGACCUUUUACCAGCCGGCAUGGUACACCCACACUAUCAGCCAAAACCUUGAGCAUUAGUGCACGAUGGCGAGCCAAUCCAAUUGUAAGAGAACCAAGUGGCAAAACCAUGCUACCAAGUGUUGCUUUCAAACUGUAGCUAAGACUCCGCCAUGCCCUAGUAAUGUUGUCAGGAUCCCCAACUGAUCCACCCAUGUAAUCAGAAACUAAAACAGCAAGCUUUCGCACAAAAUCUCUACCUGUGAAAACUAAAGAUUCAGACCUUGACUUGACCGCCAUCUCUAGUGCCUUCUGUUCAAGUUUCAACAAGUUAGCAUCAGCAGCCCUAUUCACUAGCACUGCUUCCCACCUGACACCAUCUGACACUGGUGUUCCUUGCAAAUCAACUAGUGAAGGCAUUCUUUCUGAUGUGGACUCGGUCAAAAUUCCAUACAGGUCAUAAAAACCAUCCAAGAUCUUGUCAUCAUAGCUGAGAGCAUUGUAAUUCCAGUAUCUAUAAGCAACAACUUCCGCUGGAGUAUUCUCAGGAGCACAAGAGCCCAAACUUAUUUGCUUAACAGCCUCAAUCUGAACAGCCUCAGGAUCCUCUCUUGCACUGAGCUCCAAAGCCAGCUGAAUAUGAUAUUCCUCCUCAAUUUCAGGAUCCCUUGAUGCAGUAGACCCUGAGUCACGCCUGGCUACAUCAGAAACGACAUCCAAACCACCACUGCUAAUCGAAUCAGAUGGUUCAGUCCUCUCUUCUCUAGACACAUUUGAAGAUGAUGGCGGACUAGGACUUUUUCUAUUAGCAACCGAAUUCAACCAACUGGAAAUACCUGAGAAGGGGUUUUGCUCAUUGGACCUAGAGGGCAGAUGCCCAUCAGGGGAAGAGGCAUCAAAGGACUUAUAAUUGCCCCUUGAUGAAUUUGACCCCUCUGCAUCAUGUGAUUGAUUAGACAUGAUGUGGAGCUUCUUAAGAAAGUUCUUCAUGUUAUUUCACUGAGCUGUUGAAGUGUUCAAUGCUAAAGAAACAAAAAUCUGGCCAUAAACCUCUCCAUUGUCUUGGACCAUGCAUGAAAUCUUAAUCAAUAUAAACACCAACUGCAGAAAAUAAAAAGUUGAACCAAAUCCAAAAAGCCGCUUUUGCUUCACACCCACAAGUGACCCCAAAAUCAACCCAUCAAAUCCAAUAGCCACAACAAUCACUUCAAGCAAUACCCACUACAGCCUUCCCAGUAUGAAGAAUACCCAGAUGCUUGAAUUGAAUGAUAACCCUCUCCUUCUCACAAAACAACAAUUUACUCCAGACGAUAACACAAAGAAACAGAAUUCAAACUCAAACACAUAACACACUGGCAUGCAUGCACAGCAGAGGCAAUAGCACAAUAAAAAAAAUGAUCUUUACUCCCUUGAACAACAAUAAACCAGUAACCAGAUAGUGAAAAGGAUAGAUCUUCCUUUGGACUCAGGGAAGAAGAUGGCACAUAGAAAAGAGAGAAGUGGUACUAGCAGAGGGGUUAGUUUUGAAAAAAGUUAGGAGAUGCAGAAGCAGAGACAGCAAAGACCAACAAGUGGGAGAUAGGACCUCAAAAACAAAGAAUGACCCACUUGUAGUUGUUAAGGCACAAUGAUUUCACGGUCCCAUAGAAAGGUUAAUUGGGUUUGCAAACACCAACAAAACUCAACUCUUUAGCUCAACUAAACUCAAACUGGUUGGCUCUUCCUCUUUCUCUCUCUCUCUUGGGUCCAAAACAUUACUACCAUUGUCCUUUCUCCCUCUAGCUGUGAUUGGUGUUCCAAACUUCCAAGCGCGGAGUCCUGAGUUGGAAAUUCGGGCGAUGAAUGGAAUACUGAAUGUGCAAGUUGGAAGAGAGAGAUGAUCUCAACUUUUUUUCUGCUAUGUUUUUUUAACUCCAUUUUCCUUUUUAUUUUGUCGUUUUGCAUUAAAUUCUGCUUUUG